rnacentral:lncRNA from 1 species
UUUGCUUUUUUUAUCAGCCAGAAAGCAAAUUUUAUUGACUUGAGUUCUGUUAAUACUGCUAAUAUCGAUUGGACGUUAAUAAUUAAAAACAGUUCACAAAGCUGGAGCAAACUUUGCAUCCUACCAGAGAAACUGGAAGUUGGCUUCAGGCCAGUUUCAGUUCUGAAAAUUGCACCUUUGAUAGCAGUCUUCUUGUCUGAUAAGAGAUGUUAGUUCACACAUAAGGCCAAAAAACUUGUGCCAAAGAUCUUGGUGUAUGGCAAGUAAAACUGCAGAAGGCAGGCAUUUAAGGAGAGGGAGGGAUUCUGAGAAGAAACAGACAUGGGUAAGGAUCCUGUAGCUAAGGAAAUGGGAGGAGUUUUAAUAUAAUUGCUCUAGUUGACUUGUAAUAAAAUGUGCUACUUUGAUUUGUUAAAACGGGAAAAGUGUUAGUCCUUGAUUUCAUGUGCCUCUACUGAAUUACUGGUUUUCAGAGUUUACACAGAAGAGUGAUUAAAAAGUACUGAUUUUCUGGGAUUCUUUCUGCUUAAGAAGAUGGCAUCUGCUUCCAUUGAUGGUAGCCCUGCUUUCCAUUGGAUCCUAUGAAAUGUCUACCUUUCAGAAAAGGCUCCCAGAGGCUAGAAAUGCCUCACAAAAGCUCAGACGCAGGAAAAGGAUGGUGAUCAAAAACCUAACUAGGAGCCAAGUUGAAACACAAGGUGUAUUGCACAUUCGGGAAGCGAUAAUGUAAGAAUGCCAUUUUGGAGUCUUUAAAUGAGGUCCAUACACAGAGUUACAGAGUUGCUCUAGGUGGAUUUUAGCAAGGAAGUACGUCAUGAACAUUUUCAAAGAAAAUCGGUUUUAUCCAGCCAUAUAAAAAUAGUAAUUUCUGAAUUAUGUGACUCAUAUCAUGGUUCGUCCUUUUUUUCUACAAGAUGAUUAUACUUAGAAGACUAGUAUUUUGAACUCUCUGAUGGUUUUCUUUGCAUCCCCACCAGCAGCUGAGUGGGUUCCUUGGUGGUUGUGUCAGUGCUACAGGAAAGCAGGACUGCUUCCUGGGUGCCGGUGAGUGCCCAAGCUAUUUCCUCAUUCUGAGGGUGAGACCUAAAGCUUCCUGCUGUUUUCCUUAUCUCCUCGAUAGCUUUCUGGUUUCUCCUGGAGAGAGAUCUUGCAGGGGGUGGGAAUC